GUAUUGAUUGCGGGUUAGCGCAUAAAUGAGGUCAUUCUACACUUUUUAAAAGGGGUGUUUGUGUGAAAACGCGAGCCUCCUCCGAGAUGAUCCCAAAGGGUGCCCACGCGGUGGUGCACAGGGUGAGAUGGAUUGUUUGAAAAUGCUCGGGCGUGCACGACCAAAAGUCAGCGACAGCCCUUGCACCUCAGUUUUACAAUAAUGAUCCUUCCGCAGGUUCACCUACGGAAA
rnacentral:misc_RNA from 1 species